CGUAGGGUGCGAGCGUUAAUCGGAAUUACUGGGCGUAAAGCGUGCGCAGGCGGUUUUGUAAGACAGAUGUGAAAUCCCCGGGCUUAACCUGGGAACUGCGUUUGUGACUGCAAGGCUAGAGUACGGCAGAGGGGGUGGAAUUCCUGGUGUAGCAGUGAAAUGCGUAGAUAUCAGGAGGAACACCGAUGGCGAAGGCAGCCCCCUGGGCCUGUACUGACGCUCAUGCACGAAAGCGUGGGGGAGCAAACAGGAUU
rnacentral:rRNA from 1 species